UUGACAUCCAGAGAAUUUAGCAGAGAUGCUUUAGUGCCUUCGGGAACUCUGAGACAGGUGCUGCAUGGCUGUCGUCAGCUCGUGUUGUGAAAUGUUGGGUUAAGUCCGCAACGAGCGCAACCCUUAUCCUUUGUUGCCAGCACGUAAUGGUGGGAAACUCAAAGGAGACUGCCGGUGAUAAACCGGAGGAAGGUGGGGAUGACGUCAAGUCAUCAUGGCCCUUACGAGUAGGGCUACACACGUGCUACAAUGGCGUAUACAAAGAGAAGCGACCUCGCGAGAGCAAGCGGACCUCAUAAAGUGCGUCGUAGUCCGGAUUGGAGUCUGCAACUCGACUCCAUGAAGUCGGAAUCGCUAGUAAUCGUAAAUCAGAAUGUUACGGUGAAUACGUUCCCGGGCCUUGUACACACCGCCCGUCACACCAUGGGAGUGGGUUGCAAAAGAAGUAGAUAGCUUAACCUUCGGGAGGGCGUUUACCACUUUGUGAUUCAUGACUGGGGUGAAGUCGUAACAAGGUAAGCGUAGUGCU
rnacentral:rRNA from 1 species